UUGCAAAACACUGGAUUUGUUUGAUGAAUAUUGGCACAAAAUUCGCUCCAUACUGCCCACAUUAAUCCAAUGGUGGCCCAGUGUGGGCCAGCCCAUUCGGGCCCAGAGCAACUUUUGUACCUUUGGGCCCAUGCAAGUUUAUGCAAAUAUAUCUUUAUGUUAUGAUUUUACUUGUUGAGGCACAUGACUAACUAACUAAUUAAAAAUCCAUAACCAUAUUACUUAAUGAUUAGUUAAUAGUUCUGUGCCUCAAAAAGUAAAAUCAUAACAUAAUGAUACCUUUGCAAAUCAUUAGCUAAAGAUUAAUUAAAGCAGACAACUGGAAGUUAAAAUGCAUGGCUUUGACAUUAAUGCAUAUUUGUGCACCAGUAUUGUAAAGAGUUCACCUCACCUCUUCAGGAUCAUUAGAAAAUUACAGGUGGGUGAGUUUGAUCAAAGUUGGAGCUAAACUCUGCAGGAAAGUGAGUUUAAUGAGCCAGCUUUGAAGAUCCCUGAUAUAGGCCAAUUUGCUUUUCAGAGGCUGUUUGAAAAUGCCCCUUUCAGCCAAGUCCUCCUGAUUCUGAAACAGAGUGAUAUAAAGGAGUGGUUGCAGAAUUGACCUAUUGGUAAGCCCCUCCCCUCGAACGCAGAUGAGCCAGUGGUAGUCGAGUAUCAGUUGCACGAGGAGCGGAACUCAGACAUCUGUAGGUUUCAGCACCAUAAAGAAUUAUUGGAAGAUCCGAAGCUCGCAUCAUUUUUAUGGGAUAAAGGACCAUUUGCUGCUCCAGGAGAUCAUCAUUCCACAGCACUACAAAUUCAAGUUUGUUGAAACAGAUUCCUGCUUCUUUCCUCACUGCAUUGUUACCCAAACACAGCCAGUGGAAAAAGUCACUGCAGACUGCUUACUCGACUACUUGGAACAUAAAUAGCAACUUAAACAAACCUCUUUCCAGAGACCUUGGCAUUGUUGUACAGUAUAUUAUCAGUAUGUGAUUUUCUAAUUUACAUCAGAUAGCUGAUGUCAGUUAAUAACAAAUAAUCUUUCAUAAUUCUUCACCUUAUUACUUUCAGAGAAGCAACAGUUUAUCAUUAUGCACUUGAUUUUUUUUUAUCAUUCAUGGUAUUCAUUUAAUAGUUGUGUUGGUUACUCUUGCUUAUCUUUUGUUAAUAGCAUUUAUUUUAUUACACUUGUGUUAAUAAUACAGUAAGAUAAUACAGUAAGUUCAUGAUCUUGCACCUUAAGCGAAGUGUAAUCCAAAAAUCAGAACAUCAUCUAUCGCUUACGUGAGUACCAAUCAAUACAAUGCCCUAUAGUUCAUUAACAAGCUCAUAAGUGUGAGAUCACAGUUAUUUGUGCACAUUUCUUGGUUUCUGUGGGUGUAUUGUGUAAUGUGUAUGUGGCUGUGUUGGGUGGAUACAAUAAAAUACUUGUAUGUGGAUGUUUUAA